AAAGUCCCCAGUGUGUUGCCAGUGUCUUCCUGAUGGCCCCAGGGAUUGUGGCAGUUCCAGGUACCACAUGUGGAUAUGAAGAUGUCCAGCAGAAGAGAGAAGUGAGUCCACCUACACAUCUUUUUGUUUCAACUAAUAAGGAAAAGCUUCCCCAGACUUGUCCCAGCGGUCUUACCCUCAGGCAUUUCUCCCUAUCAAUCUCUUUCACAUCCAAUUCCAUUUUGGUGUCUACUUCUUGGAGAAAAUAAACUGACCCAGGAGUUAUCAAUAUAUAGGGAUGGGACACAGUUCCCAAGAACUCGCCUGUGUGGGCCCUGGGCUGAGCACUUUCACACAGCUGCUGCCCUUUAUCUCCAUUGCCAUCCUGUGUGGUAGGUGUCAUCAUCCCCAUUUGACAGAGGAUAAAAGCAGAGGCUCAAAGAGACUGAGUCACUAUCUAAGAUAUACAAGUUUCCAGCAGAGUGCUCAAUAAAUAUUUGUUGAAUGGACUAUGGAUGGACUAAUAAAUAUUUGUUGAAUGAAUAAAUAAUACUGAAUGAAUGGACUGCAAAGACCAUGCUCUCUCCAAUCUUCACUUCUGUGAUGUUUUUUCCGACAAGUCUUUUUGCUAUUGAGAAUGUUCUUAUGUAGUUAAGUCAU